AAUAUUGGACAAUGGGGGCAACCCUGAUCCAGCCAUGCCGCGUGUGUGAAGAAGGUCUUCGGAUUGUAAAGCACUUUAUGUUGGGAGGAAGGGCUUUAGGCUAAUACCCUGAAGUUUUGACGUUACCAACUGAAUAAGCACCGGCUCACUCUGUGCCAGCAGCCGCGGUAAUAAAGUGGGUGCUAGCUUUAAUCGGAAUGACGGGGCGUAAAGCGCGCGUAGGUGGUUCAGUAAGAUGGGUGUGAAAUCCCCGGGCUUAACCUGGGAACUGCUUUCAUAACUGCUGAGCUAGAGUACGGUAGAGGGUAGUGGAAUUUCCUGUGUAGCGGUGAAAUGCGUAGAUAUAGGAAGGAACACCAGUGGCGAAGGCGACUACCUGGACUGAUACUGACACUGAGGUGCGAAAGCGUGGGGAGCAAACA
rnacentral:rRNA from 1 species